rnacentral:rRNA from 1 species
ACCUACGGGAGGCAGCAGUCGGGAAUAUUGCGCAAUGGAGGAAACUCUGACGCAGUGACGCCGCGUGCAGGAAGAAGGUUUUCGGAUUGUAAACUGCUUUAGACAGGGAAGAAAGAAAUGACGGUACCUGUAGAAUAAGCUCCGGCUAACUACGUGCCAGCAGCCGCGGUAAUACGGAGGAUUCAAGCGUUAUCCGGAUUUAUUGGGUUUAAAGGGUGCGUAGGCGGUUCGAUAAGUUAGAGGUGAAAUCCCGGGGCUCAACUCCGGCACUGCCUCUGAUACUGUCGGGCUAGAGUUUAGUUGCC